rnacentral:lncRNA from 1 species
GGCCGACUAGCUGUAUAUGAUGAAGCUUUUCGAACGGAUCUUAGAUUUCUCAUUUCUCCUUUCAUUCUUUAACUUUUAAAGUUUUAUGGGAUCUUUUUGCAUAAUUUCUCCAAAUUUCUUUAGAUAUAUUGUAGGUUUUCUUAUCCUUUUUUCUCGGACAGGAAUCCGACCUUCUAUCUCCUUUUUUCGAGCACUUUUCACUCUAAAGAGACAUCCAUACACCGAUUGAUGGUA